GACUUUUGAUUGCCAGCGCGCUGGCGGGAGCCGCGCGCUGGCGGCAGCUGCAGGGCGAAUAGCCCGCCAAGUUGCUUAGGUGUGUGGCAGUUGCUGCCUUUCUGCAGCGGCGGGGUGGGCGACGGUGGCGGGAUGAGCAUCCAGGCGGGAUCCUUUGGCGGCAGCAGCAGAGAGAGCUCCACCCGGAUAAUGCAGAGGCCCAGGCUCCAGCGGACUUCAAGUCCCAGAGCAGGCUGCACCCGCGUCUGCGUGAAAUCUAAAGGGACUUGGCCUGAUCACAAAUGAGCUAACUUCGCGGCGGGGCUGGCGAACACAGACAAUGCCAGCCUGGAGGAGGCAGUGGCCAGCACUGCUUAGGCCUCGUUCCCAGGACGCGCAUUACUGAGUGCUGUACUUUACCCUUUGGAUGAAGGCUCCAGAGUACGACCUCCCCAAACUGAUAUCAAAGAAGUGCUUUGCAUGGGGCUUGAGAAAACAUCUUACUGUUUAAGAAAAGAACGUCUUACUGUCUGAGAAGCUGAAUAGAAUGAGAUGCCAUCAGUAUUGGGUGUUAUUUUUCAGAAGUUGCUCAAAGAAGGAGAGAAGAUGGUUAAGUGGGGAUGGAGACAAUUAUUUUGUAACUCAUAGAAGGACAGAUGUUUAUGUAACAGUUGAUAGUUUUGGUGGAAUAAUCAUGAGCAUGUUUCUGAAAUUAAUAUAAAAUAUACAGAGACCCCUAAAAUCACUGCUUAAAUUACACGGGUCUUGAGGUGUUCGGAAAGAGCAAACUUUGGAAGUAUAAUUGUAAAAAUAAUGUCAUACAGACAAAGAGAAGAGAAAACUUAACGACAGCUUUCUUAAAUCGCUGUUAUUCUUGAAUCAUCUGAAAGCAGUACACGUGCCUGGCACCAAUAUACAUCAGAGAGUAAAUCAUUGCACAAGGAGACUUGAUCUUCUUUUUUUGUAGAAUCUGGAGGAAACAAAUCUAUGAAAAGCAAGAGAUGGUAGAGAAUGGUGUUGUCGAAAUUGCCUGACAUCAUUGGAGAUAGAGAAUUUGCCCUGGUAAAAGGUGCUCCUCAGGGAGGAGCAUCUGCACAUUCCAUUAGCAUAAAGCCCCUGGUGGGCCAUAUGAAGAAGUCUGGAUUUUGCUAUAAAUGUGAAAUUUAUUUUAAAUGGAGGAUUUGAAGCAGGGGGGUAAUAUACCCUGACAUAUUUUAAAAAAUCACCCUAGCAGCGUUUGUGCGGGGUAAAGACUCUGGGAGGACAAGAAGAGAUGUGGAAGGGAGAAGGCAGCUAAGAGUCUGUCCCAGGAUUGCAAAGAUGUUGGAGCCCGACCUCAGAUGGUAAUGGUGGAAGUGUUAGAAAUGGCUGGAUUCCACAUUUAUUUUGAAGGGCCAGCCCUUGGAAUUUGCUUAUGGAUGUUCCAUAAAUAAGAGAAACAGAGGGCUCAAUGACGAUUCCUGGGCUUUUGACUUGAGCAACUAGAAGGAUGGGGAAGUCUGAGGACAGAGAUGCUGUGUGUGUCAGGAGUGGGGUGUGUGUGUGUGUGUGUGUGUAAAAUUCUACUUUUGACAUGUCGAAUUGGAGAUGCUAAUCCACUCCAACUGAAAAAUAAGGAGGGAAGUGGACAUUCAACACAUGAUGACAGGAAGACAGGGAAGCUGGGACUUAUGAUGGUAACAAUGUUGGCCAUUAACUGAGAAUUUUUUUUUUUUUUGACACAGAGUCUUGCUCUAUUGCUCAGGCUGGAGUGCAGUGGCAUGAUGUCGGUUCACUGCAACCUCCACCUCCUGUGUUCAAGCGAUUCUCAUACCUCAGCCUCCUGAGCAGCUGGGAUUACAGGAGCCUGCCACCAUGCCCAGCUAACUUUUGUUUUUCUAGUGGAGAUGGGGUUUCAUCAUGUUGGCCAGGCUGGGGUCGAACUCCUGGCCUCAGGUGCUCUGCCUGCCUCAGCCUCCCAAAGUACUGGGAUUACAGAUGUAAGCCACCACGUCAGGCCUAAGAAAUAUAAUUAAAGUACAGGGAAAAUUAAAAGAAAGUUCACAGAGAGAUAUCACGGCAAAUGAUAAAUACAAAAGCCUGCCUUGUUUCCCAUACCCCCUGUGUCUUAGAUUCCCUGAAUUUUACCUCCCAGUGGACCGUGCUUGUCCCUUUGUAAUGGCGCUCCAAGCAGCACUGCUGCACACCAAUUCCUGAGCUUCCCUGCUUCUUGAGCUUAGGAAUAGUUGUGCUUCUAUUUCCUGUUUAUUUGCUCAUCACUGGAGUAGCAACUGAACCACACAAUUGGGAUAAGUACCCUGAGGCCAUUUUGGGAGUAAUCUUCCAUUUCUUCCUUACGUAUAAAACUGCCCCUCACAGAGAAACUGUCUAGAGUGAUAGGUCCAGAGUAGAGCUCUAGCUUUGCUUUACCCUUUGCAGCUGUGCUCUGAGAGCUUUGAUGCAAUCCCACUGCAACUGGAAUCAGUGACAGAGUAGGGAUGCUCAGGGAAUCUGUUGGGCCACCAAAGAAAACUCACUUCUAGCUAAUGCUUAUCUGGGGCUAUGGAAGUUGUCUAACAUCCCUGGGGACAGAGUGUUUGCCCUGAAAAGGAACAUUCCCUUGGCACAAAGUAUCCUGUUGGCUGGAUUUUAUUAUAAAUGUGACAAGAAUGCUUUUGGCCAGUAACUGGUGGUUGGGUCAGUUUGUGUUUUGUAAACCCAUAAAGAGGAAAAGGCUCUCAUGUGGUUGGGAGAGGUGGGAAUGGAUCAUGCACUAAGGUCAGGUCUGGUGAAGUUAGGGAAUAAGGCCAGUGUUUACGAAGAGUGAUUCCUUCAUGAACCCCUAAAAGAUGCUCUGGAACACUACCAGUAGGAUGAUGUCUGUAUGUAGAGGUGCAGAUGACAUGUUCUCGGAAUACAGAGGAAGGCACCACUGCCUCUACCUUGAGAGUAUAUCACAGAGAAAGAUUUAUAUUUGGACUAGAUGGCUGAGAGAUGAGUAGGAGUUUGAUAGAAGAGAGCAUGGAAACUGGCUGUACAACGGCAGAAAGGGCAGGAAAGGCUGAGGAGAAUUGGCCUCUGGGGGUGGGUUAUAGAUAUGGGCCUGGGCACCACAUUCUGGAGCUUGCAAUGGGGUAUGUAAAAGCUUAGAUGGGAUGGUCUUUUCCUCUCCUCCCAUGGGUUCAUAGUUGGCCCACCUCACUCACUGCUGCAAACAAGCUGCCCCCAUUUGAGAGAGAGCUGGAGUGGGGUCUCUAAGCCUCCAGCAACCACUUAGGAGCUAGCCUUGAUGCCCCAGCAGCUAACCUCAUGGAGACCCCAUAGUCCAUCCUAUCUUGGGAAGACAAUGCAGGCAUGGGGAAGGUAACAUUCCCCUCCAGACUCCAGAGGCUCCAAGGAGCCUCUCUCUCUCUUCAAGAAAAGAAAUAGUCACUGAGCCACGGGUGGAGGUGAACAUGGUUUGGGACCAACAGGCGGCUGGAUGGUUUCACCUCCACGGUCAUACAAUGGUACUGGGAGAUGAAUGGGGGUAGGGCGAUCUAGAAUUAGUUCAACCUCAACUUCCAGUGGGGUGGUGCUUGGAGUUGACUCAUUGUGGCCCCAUUUAAUAUUCGCAGUCACCAGUUGGGGUAGGUGGGACUGUUGCUCCCAUUUCACAGAUCAGGACAGGAUAGUUUGCUAGAGGUCACAGGACUAGUUGGGGAAAGGAAAGGGUGUCAGGUAGGAUUUUAACCUUAGAGCCUCACGUUUUCUUAGGCUCUUUCAGGGGGACCUUGGGCAAAUUCCGUUCUCUCUUGGUGGGGGGGGGUCUCCAUUCCUUAUUUGUAAAUUAAGGAGUUCUUCCAGUUUGUGAUUCUCUGUACUUUAACUUGGAUAGGUUUUGUAAAAUGGGGAUUAUGGGAACCCCACUAUAUUUAAGUAGAGUAGGUCUGGGGUGAGGCCCAGUAAUCUGCAGCUUUGAACAAACCUCGGCAUCCACAAAACUGGCUGAGAUACUCAGGGAAAGUUUAUGAUGCAUGAAAAUCUUAUUGCGAGCUGUCCAAAACACAUAACACUGAGCUCCAUCUGCAGAGAUCCUGUUUUGAUACCCUUGGUUGGACUGUGGCUGGGUAAUUUGCAUUUGUCAGAAGUGAGGCCAGUCACCUGGUCAACAACCCCUCCUGUCGCUCUGUGACCCUCCCCGGGCGUCCGCGGUGCUUCUUUACUUGCAUCUUGUGGGAAUGACAUCUGCGCAGGCAGCCCCUUUUUAGCACCGCUCCUCGCACGCGAGCCCAGCCCUUAAAAACCCAGCCCAGCCCCGGGUUUGCAGAUACUCAGGGCAGGGGAAGGCGCCUUUCCGCAUUUGGUGUAGUCCCGCAUGCUGCCAUUUGAUGUCGCGGGAGAACGCGCCUACAGGGAUAGGGCGGGGCAAGGAGGCGAGGAAGGAAAAAAAGCGACAAGUGAAGACUGACAUCCAUUAAGGUCAAUGGUAGCUCAAUCUUCGGUUCUCUGACUCCCAAGCUUCCCAUUCUCUUAGGAGGCUGCAUUUGUGGCGCUAAAAAAAGGGAUGGGCGUGGGAGAUUCCAGGACAUGUGCUCGCUGAAGAUACAACUGUUAGUCCAAGGUAACUCCCACUCGUAGUGGCUCAACCCUCUUUGUCAAUUCACCUUCCUCUAAGUUAACUAUGGCUGCUCCACCUGUCUUUAGGGAAACCUACUCCCCAUCGCGCUGGGUAUUUUGGAUUUUUUAAAAGCGUCGCGGGGUAAAGUCAGUGUUGUGCUUUUCCUUUUCUCAGCAGGUAAGUAUUUCUGGCGCUGACAGCGGAGAGCUGCCGGGCGGGAAUAGGGGUGAAGAGAGAAUAGGGAGAGAGAUAACAGGUGUGAAGCGUCCCUCAAUGCCAGGCAUCCUGCUUUGGCACCUUCAGUAAGUUUGUCUGAAUCAUCUUUCUAUUGAAUUCACUUUCUGUUUCACAGAUUAGGAAACCUCAACUAAGUGGCCCAAGGACAGUCCUUGGAUAAUUUUAACUUGUGUCAGAAACCAAAGCCUAAGGUCUUUUAUUUUGCAGAGGCUGCUUUGGCAGGAUUUCAAUGCAUGCAGGUCCUGCGAAUCACUGCUCCUCACUCACUGAUCCAUCCCGCUGUCCACACAUUCAUUCACCCAUUCAUUUCUUAGGGGCUCAUCUGCAAGGCGUGGGGCUGGAUGAUACUAAAAAUACAAAAGGGACUCUGAUGUAAAGUAGAAGAGAUUUUUUAAAAAGAUUUACCCAGAAUUCCGGUGCUCAGCAUGGUUUCGAUUUUUCCCCCCAACAUACUAUUGAUACCUGUUAUGUUCCACAUAAUAUGAUGGAUUCUGAAGAUACAGAGAUGGGUGAGACCUAUCCUUGCCUUUCAGAAGCUCGUUGUCAUAGGCAAGAGUAAUCUCUGAGGUUAAAUUUUAGAUAUCUAUUUUUUAACAAAUUGAGCAUCAACUCUAUAUAUUCUACUGUAAUUAAUGUACUAAAUAAUUAAAUAUUACACACAAUUUCUUAUUUUUUAGAUGAAGAUGAAUCUAAAUGGUGGUUCAAGUAUGUCCUUUGUUGAUCCUAGUGGACCAUCUUGGGUGCUUCAGACUGAAACUCUACCCUCCUGUUAUGUGCUUGGCUCUAUUCCUUCUUUCUGCAGCUCUCUGUCAAAUGCCAGGCUUUGAGGGAGACCAGUCCUGACCCCUUCCUGUUUUCUCUCCUUUUUACCUGCUCCUAUCUGAGGCCUCUUUUCCUAUUUAUUUGUUGUUCUUUCUCCCUCCAUCAUCUUCUGUCAUCAAAUCAUGUGUUUUUUUUUCAUAUACUACAUCUGAGUUUAUAGGGAAUAUGUUCAGAGUUGUUUUAAUUUUUGGUUUAGUUUCUGCCUCCCUGCUCCAGAAUGUAAGCUUCAAGAAGGGCAGUGAGGAGUUCUUAACACCCGUCACUGCCUGAGAAACGGUUGGGGAUGGAGGAAGACAGCUUUGCCGGGUACAUCCUGAAAUCCCCUGAGGUGGGGGUGGGAGUGGAGGGAAGAUCAGGGAAUGUCCAUUCAUUUUAUGAAGUUGAAGUUGGGUUAAAUCCUAUUAUAUCCUGUGUUGUUGUUUGUUAAUCUCAACUUGAAGCCCUCAUCGCUAGUCAUCCACUUUUUGCUAGCUUUGUGACCUUGAAUGAAGGUUCAAGGUUACCUUGUUUCUUUGUACCUUUAUAUCUUAUGUAUAAAGUGGAAAAUUAUAUUUGGUCAUCCUAAAAUGUGAUGUCAUAGGGAAUCAGUCACUUGAGGGUAAAAGACAAAUCAAUUUAUAAGGCUGCAGAAAUUACAUUCUUGUGAGGGUCAAAGAAAGAUAUUUGUGGAUUUGAGAGUCUUCAGAUAUUAUAUUGGUAGCAUAUUUACAUGCAGAAAAUACUGAAGAAGCAAUUUUAACUAAUCAAAUAGGAACAGAGAUUUCAGAUAGGAGCAGAAAAUAAGGAGAGGAAACAGUGGUGAGUAAAAAAAAAUUGACAAAUUUUAUGUAGAGAAUUAACUCUAAAUGGACAAUGAUAGGCUCUCUGGGAAUGUGUAAGAAAAGUUUUAAAGAAGGAUUCUUUAAAUGGAUGCGACACACUGCAAGGGAAAUUCUGUGACACCUGGAACUAAAACACAUGGAACUAAAACAUCGGUCUCAGGGGGUUGAACGGUAGAGGAAUAAAAGCAUUUUGUAUCACUUAGCACACUCGUCUGGAUCAGAGGAGGGAGCAAAACAGGGAAAUGAAUCUAUUGGAAGAUAUCAACUUAUUGAGGUAAAGGAGGAAAUGGUGAAUAGCUGUUACUUUAUUUUAUAUAAUAGUAAAAAAAUUUGUGUUCAAUUAUGAGCACUAGAAACAAAUACCAGUGAUUGAAUAAAAAGUUAAUAAGGGAAUAUGAUGUAUAAGUGAGUUAAUAAGAGAACUUGAGGGAUAAGUGAAUUAAUAAGAGUCCACAGUGGAGGCAAUUUCCCCUUUUGAAAAACAUUAUCUUUUGAAUAUAUGCAGGAUAUACUUUGCAAAAGAAAAAAAGUGUAUAUUGGGGAAAGAAUUUUCACUCAUUCUCGAGACACUCAAUACUUUUCCCUAGAUAAUCUAUGGCUAUAAAAGCAUAAUAAUGCCUUUUUAAUAUAUUUUCCCAGCAACUAAGAAGUUCAGUGUUUAUAAUUGUAAUAAGAAGCGUGCUGAUCUGGCCUGAAAUAUAGUUUUACUUUAGAUAUAUGUCUCAUAAAUAGUAUUUGAGAAGUCAGGGAAUAUGCUUAGAAAGGGAUUACCAAGGCCCUAUAACACAUGAGUUUGAGGGCACAGGGAGAUUAAGAUUUAGAACAAAGUUAGGUGAAAUCUAGGGCCAAAGGAUAGCAGGGUGUGUGUGUGUGAGUGUGUGUGUGUGUGUGUGUGUGUGUUGGGUGGGGCAGGUGGGAACCUUUGGAGAAUGCCUGUAGGCUGCUAGUGAGGUGCUAUGAUCUCUAGACCUUGGUAGGUCCUUGCAAAGAGACAUGGUUCUGAAAGGUUGGCACCCUUAUAGGUUCUUAAAAUAUUUUCGUUAUCCAUAGGGGUGAACCUGGAGAUCAUUACCAAAGUUUAAAAAUUUCACCACUGGGCACACAGGUUACCCUUCUCGUGGUGGCAUGGCAAAGCUUGAUUUGCAAGAGUUUCUUUUGGAUUGUCCCCAAUGAUUCCCUUUAAAAAUAGGAGCUCCUUCAGGGUAAGGAAGGAAGGAGAAAAUAUCCCUUCUAACCUAUUUUCUCUUUUUCAUUCCAAGGACUCUGGAAAGGCACAGCAGGUUUGGUUUUGAAAUCUGUAGAAUUUUAGUGCUCUCCAUUCUCCCAAGUAGAUGACUUUAGUGAAGGUAAAAGGAAAGACUGUUUGCUGUGUCAAGGGAAGAUUCAUAUGCAAAUCCCAAGACUCAGAUGUUAUUUCAGAAGAGUUGGUGUCCAUAGUAAAGUAGAACUGGCCCGGGUUCAUCUGCCUACAAGGGCAAUUGUCUGAGGCAAAUAUGAGGAAACUGGCAGAACAGGAGGGGUGGAAUCUUCCUGGGAGAAAGAGUAAAGAGAGUUCUAGGUGGAGAGGGGAUCAAUAUGUUGAGCAAACACCUGGCUGUCUUCUUAGUUCCUAUAUGAAAUCAUGGAAAAGACUUUAGAACAAAGAAUAAAUAUGUCAUAGCAGGAAAACAAAGAGCAGUCUUUUGGCCAGAAAUAGAAACUGUUAAAAAGAAAAACAAACCAACAACAAAAAAAAAAACACCUUUAAGUUUGAAAAUGACAGAAGUUAAGAAGUGGAAAGUUGCCUGGGAUAUGCUUUUAUUGCAGCCUCUCUAGUAAACCCGUCCCCACUUCAUCUUUGUGUCUUUGCUUAUCCUAAGCAGCAUGGUGGCAGCCAUGGCAUUCUUCAGGCUGAAGUGGUCAUUUUUGGCACUUGGGCUUGAGAUGGCAGUGAAGCGGCAUCGUUUGUCUGGGGAAAUGCCAGAGGUUUGCUGUCUCACAGUAUGGAAAUUGUAGAUGUGGACACCAAAGGAGUGGGUUUAAGAGCAAAAGUUUAAUAGGCAAAAGAACAAAGAGAGAGUUUCCUCAUGCAUUGGAAGGGUGCCUGAGCAGGUUUCCGGGUUUGGGGCGAGUUGUGGUUGGUUUUAUAGAGGAGCUUGAGGAGGCAGUGUCUGAUUUACAUAGGGCUCAGAGGGUUGGUUGGAGCAGGUGUGCUAUUUAUGUGAUGCACGAAGAGCCUGGCCAUCCCACAUGAAUCUUUAGUAUGCAAACGGGGCCUCUACCUGGCCUGUGCCGUGUCGCCUGCACAAGUGAAGACAAAGAAAAGGAAAUAGGCGGCCAGGCGUGGUAGCUCAUGACUGUAAUCCUAGCACAUUUGGAGGCCAAGGACGGUGGAUCACGAGAGGUCAGGAGUUCAAGACCAGCCUGGCGAAGAUGGUGAAACCCUGCCUCUACUAAAAAAACACGAAAAAAAAAAUUAGCCAUGCGUGAUGGUGGGCACCUGUAAUCUCAGCUACUCAGGAGGCUGAGGGAGAGAAUUGCUUGAACCCAGGAGGGGGAGGUUGUAGUGAGCUGAGAAUGCACCACUGCACUCCAGACUGAGUGACAGAGCAGGAUUCCAUCUGAAAAAAAAAAAUAGGAAGAGGAAACCUCUAUGUUGAGUACGCCUGACUUCCAGCUCCUGUAUCAGCAGUGCUUGUGCCUGAUAGGUGAUGAUCAUGAGGGGGACCAGGAGCCUCUAGACUUAAGAGACAAGUUGCCAGCAUUCUCCAGAUGGAGUGUUUCCCUCCCCAGCACCACCUGCUGAUAUGCUUCCUUAUGAACUGACGGUGACUCCCAAAUUCAUAUGUUGAAGACCCAACUCCCAACGGACUUGGAGGUGGGCCUUUGAGAAGUAAUUGGGUUUAGAUUAAGUCAUAAGGGUGGAGCCCCCUUGAUGGUAUUAAGUCCUUCUAAGAAAAGGAAGAGAGUCUGAGCUCUCCUCUGUCUCCACCAUGUGAGGGCACAGAGAUGUAUGCUUCUUGGAUUUUGUUUUUAACUCAGUAUGAAAAACAUAUAUUUUAAUAAGAAAAUUACCCCAUUCAUUGUUAGUGUGUUUAUUGAUAAUGUUGGACUUACUUGUGCCAUAUUUAAGAAAUCCUCUUUCAUCCUUCCCAUGCUUUCUUGUUGUUUUUUUAAUGCAAGUGCAUGAUAAGGUUUAGGGAUCACUUUUUUAACAGGUCCACGAAGGGCUAGAUAAGGGAAGCUGGUUUGCGUUCAGGGAAGCGGCAGAGGAGGGAAGCUGGCAGCUGGGCUGUGCUAAGAUGACCUUAGCCCCAGACCCUGGAUGAACAUCCUCUUCUGGAUACAGGACCUGCCCGAGGCAUCAUUUUGAAAUAGUCAAAUUUUAUUUGCUUUGUGUUCUUUCAUCACAUAUAUUAGCUUUUGCCUCUUGAGUGCCAAAAUAUAGCUGUUUUUAUAUUA